rnacentral:rRNA from 1 species
GAUGAACGCUAGCUACAGGCUUAACACAUGCAAGUCGAGGGGAAACGAUAGGGAAAGCUUGCUUUUUCUAGGCGUCGACCGGCGCACGGGUGAGUAACGCGUAUCCAACCUGCCCAUCACUUGGGGAUAACCUUGCGAAAGUAAGACUAAUACCCAAUGACGUCUCUAGAGGACAUCUGAAGGAGAUUAAAGAUUUAUCGGUGAUGGAUGGGGAUGCGUCUGAUUAGCUUGUUGGCGGGGUAACGGCCCACCAAGGCGACGAUCAGUAGGGGUUCUGAGAGGAAGGUCCCCCACAUUGGAACUGAGACACGGUCCAAACUCCUACGGGAGGCAGCAGUGAAGAAUAUUGGUCAAUGGACAAGAGUCUGAACCAGCCAAGUAGCGUGCAGGAAGACGGCCCUAUGGGUUGUAAACUGCUUUUAUAAGGGAAUAAAGUGAGUCUCGUGAGACUUUUUGCAUGUACCUUAUGAAUAAGGACCGGCUAAUUCCGUGCCAGCCGCCGCGGUAA